UACGUAGGUGGCAAGCGUUGUCCGGAAUUAUUGGGCGUAAAGCGCGCGCAGGCGGUCCUUUAAGUCUGCUGUGAAAGCCCACGGCUCAACCGUGGAGGGUCAUUGGAAACUGGGGGACUUGAGUGCAGGAGAGAAGAGUGGAAUUCCACGUGUAGCGGUGAAAUGCGUAGAGAUGUGGAGGAACACCCGUGGCGAAGGCGGCUCUCUGGGACGUGACUGACGCUGAGGAGCGAAAGCGUGGGGAGCAAACAGG
rnacentral:rRNA from 1 species